UACGUAUGGGGCAAGCGUUGUUCGGAGUUAUUGGGCGUAAAGGGCGUGUAGGCGGCGCGUCAUGUCUGGUGUGAAAACGCAGGGCUCAACCCUGCGGUUGCGCUGGAAACGGGCGUGCUCGAGUUCCGAGGGGGGAGUCGGAAUUCCAGGUGUAGGGGUGAAAUCUGUAGAGAUCUGGAAGAACACCGGUGGCGAAGGCGGGCUUCUACUCGAGGACUGACGCUGAGGCGCGAAAGCGUGGGGAG
rnacentral:rRNA from 1 species